rnacentral:rRNA from 1 species
AACGACUCUCGGCAACGGAUAUCUCGGCUCUCGCAUCGAUGAAGAACGUAGCGAAAUGCGAUACUUGGUGUGAAUUGCAGAAUCCCGUGAACCAUCGAGUCUUUGAACGCAAGUUGCGCCCGAAGCCAACAGGUCGAGGGCACGUCUGCCUGGGCGUCACACG